rnacentral:rRNA from 1 species
CCUACGGGCGACAGCAGUGAGGAAUAUUGGUCAAUGGACGAGAGUCUGAACCAGCCAAGUAGCGUGAAGGAUGACUGCCCUAUGGGUUGUAAACUUCUUUUAUAAAGGAAUAAAACGAGGCACGUGUGCCUUUUUGUAUGUACUUUAUGAAUAAGGAUCGGCUAACUCCGUGCCAGCAGCCGCGGUAAUACGGAGGAUCCGAGCGUUAUCCGGAUUUAUUGGGUUUAAAGGGAGCGUAGAUGGGUUGUUAAGUCAGUUGUGAAAGUUUGCGGCUCAACCGUAAAAUUGCAAUUGAUACUGGCAGUCUUGAGUACAGUUGAGGUAGGCGGAAUUCGUGGUGUAGCGGUGAAAUGCUUAGAUAUCACGAAGAACCCCGAUUGCGAAGGCAGCUUACUAAACUGUGACUGACAUUGAUGCUCGAAAGUGUGGGUAUCAAACAGGAUUAGAUACCCGAGUAGUC